AGGCCUAGGCAAACUCGGCCCUCCAGAUGUUUUGGGACUCCUGUUAGCUAGGGGUGAUGGGAGUUGUAGUCCCAAAACAUCUGGAGGGCCGAGUUUGCCUAUGCCU